rnacentral:rRNA from 1 species
GACGAACGCUGGCGGCGUGCUUAACACAUGCAAGUCGAACGGAAAGGCCCUGCUUUUGUGGUGUGCUCGAGUGGCGAACGGGUGAGUAACACGUGAGUAACCUGCCCUUGACUUUGGGAUAACUUCAGGAAACUGGGGCUAAUACCGGAUAGGAGCUCCUGCUGCAUGGUGGGGGUUGGAAAGUUUCGGCGGUUUGGGAUGGACUCGCGGCUUAUCAGCUUGUUGGUGGGGUAGUGGCUUACCAAGGCUUUGACGGGUAGCCGGCCUGAGAGGGUGACCGGCCACAUUGGGACUGAGAUACGGCCCAGACUCCUACGGGAGGCAGAAGUGGGGAAUAUUGCAAAAUGGGCGGAAGCCUGAUGCAGCAACGCCGCGUGCGGGAUGACGGCCUUCGGGUUGUAAACCGCUUUCGCCUGUGACGAAGCGUGAGUGACGGUAAUGGGUAAAGAAGCACCGGCUAACUACGUG